CGCACCUUGCGCCCUCUGGUAUUCCGGACGGGCGAUGCCCGGUUCGAGUGUCAUGAAUAUCUCAACUCUAACAUUUUGUUUAACGGUCUUGUGGGUGAAGCCUGUGGUCUAGCGAGAUUGCAGGUUGUAAUCCUUGGGACUAAAGUGUUGGAGAUUGGACUUGAGUUUUGUUUGGCCUGCUAGGGUCGACUGACUCGAAAUUGAUUAGCAAUGCGUGAUCCAUUGGGUCCAUCUCGGCGUGAUAAGUUGAUCGCUGUAAAGGAACCAUGUGGGUGUGGCUUGCUUCUAAUCGUCUUAGGACAGCUUUGACAUUUACACCUCAACUCGGGUAGGAUUACCCGCUGAACUUAA
rnacentral:rRNA from 1 species